GAUGAACGCUGGCGGCGUGCCUAAUACAUGCAAGUCGAGCGAACAGAUAAGGAGCUUGCUCCUUUGACGUUAGCGGCGGACGGGUGAGUAACACGUGGGUAACCUACCUAUAAGACUGGGAUAACUUCGGGAAACCGGAGCUAAUACCGGAUAACAUUUGGCACCGCAUGGUUCUAAAGUGAAAGAUGGUUUUGCUAUCACUUAUAGAUGGACCCGCGCCGUAUUAGCUAGUUGGUAAGGUAACGGCUUACCAAGGCGGCGAGACGUAGCCGACCUGAGAGAGUGAUAGUCCGCAGUGGAAGUGGAACACGGUCCAGACUCCUACGGGAAGCCGCAGUAGGCAACCUUCGGCAGUAGGCGAGAGCAUGACGGAGCAACGCGGCGAGAGUGAUGGAGGGUUUGCGCUCGGGAGGCACUGUUAUUAGGGAAGAACAAAUGUGUAAGUAACUGAAGACGUCUUGACGGUACCUGAUCAGAAAGCAACGGCUAACUACGUG
rnacentral:rRNA from 1 species